rnacentral:rRNA from 1 species
UACGAAGGGGGCGAGCGUUAUUCGGAAUCACUGGGCGUAAAGCGUGCGUAGGCGGUUGUAAAAGUUAGGAGUGAAAGCCCAGGGCUCAACCCUGGAAUUGCUCUUAAUACUGUACAACUUGAAUUCGGGAGAGGAUAGCGGAAUUGUCAGUGUAGCAGUGAAAUGCGUAGAUAUUGACAGGAACACCGGUGGCGUAAGCGGCUAUCUGGACCGACAUUGACGCUGAGGCACGAAAGCGUGGGGAUCAAACAGG